rnacentral:rRNA from 1 species
UGGGGAAUUUUGGACAAUGGGGAACCCGAUCGAUCCAGCCAUCCCGACCGUGUGCGAUGAAGGCCUUCGGGUUGUAAAGCACUUUUGGCAGGAAAGAAACGUCGCGGGUUAAUACCCCGCGAAACAUGACGGUACCUGCAGAAUAAGCACCGGCUAACUACGUGCCAGCAGCCGCGGUAAUACGUAGGGUGCAAGCGUUAAUCGGAAUUACUGGGCGUAAAGCGUGCGCAGGCGGUUCGGAAAGAAAGAUGUGAAAUCCCAGAGCUUAACUUUGGAACUGCAUUUUUAACUACCGGGCUAGAGUGUGUCAGAGGGAGGUGGAAUUCCGCGNGUAGCAGUGAAAUGCGUAGAUAUGCGGAGGAACACCGAUGGCGAAGGCAGCCUCCUGGGAUAACACUGACGCUCAUGCACGAAAAGCGUGGGGGAGC